GUCAGGAUGGCCGAGUGGUCUAAGGCGCUGCGUUCAGGUCGCAGUCCGGUCUUCCGGGCGUGGGUUCGAAUCCCACUUCUGACA
rnacentral:tRNA from 2 species